GGCUUAUUACUAUGUUAUAACCCAACUCAAGGUGAGGGGUUAUCCUUCCAAAGGACAGAAUUUCAGGCAGUGAUGAUCAUCCACUUGUGUAGGAAAAAAACUGACCCAAGGAGUUGACUCUCUAAGGAAAACAGGCAUGUAAACAACUAACUGGAGUACAGUGUGAUCCAUGAUACUAUUUAAAGUAAAGGACAACGUGCUGCAAGAAUACAGACUAAACAGUGAGGAUAAAGAAAAACUUCAUGGAAGAUGGAACACUUUAACUUAUAUAACACAUCAAGUAUAACAUUUUUAAGGGGAAAAAAAAGGUAUGUUCCUUCCUUCUUUUUGGCAUUAAUCAUAUCUGUUUUUGGCUUUCCAUCCAAUCACUAUUCUCUACUUUUUCAUUACUAACAAAAAUCAAAAUUUAGAGUGACUAUAACACUACUUUAAAAUACCUACCCCAGCUUCCUUGCAGGUAGGUGUGUAUGGUCAUGUGACCAAGUUAUGGCCAAAGAAGUAUAAAAGCAACCCUCUCAGGUAAGAUUCUAGAAAGCUUUUAAAUUAUUAUUAUCAUUACUAAAAAGAGACAGAGUAAUCUAAUAUGUGCCUUUUGUUUAUUGCUUUUUGUCCUUCGCCUGAAAUUUGGACAUGAUGCCUAGAAGUAGAGCUUAAACCCAUGAGAAUGAAAGCCAUAUAUUAAAGAUGACAGAACAAGAUAAAAGAAGGGUCCUGGUUCUUUGAUGAUGUUAUUGAAUAGUGACACUGGAUCCUUACCUCCAUACUCCCGGCUAAGGCUGAAAAUUCAACCUGUUUGGUUAGCCACUGUAGUUCAAGUGUAGAUGACAUGCAGCCAAACAAAAUCUUGACCAAUAAGCUAUGCAAAGAGUAAACCAAGAGAUCUUCCAAGCUGAUUCUUUUUAGUUUGUUUAUCUUCCAAGAACAACACCAUAAAUGUCACUGGCCAUUCUUAAAGUGACAUCAGGUGUGUAUAUUUUUAUGCCACUUCUUUCUAUGCAUGAGGAAUCCUGAGAUUUCAAGUUCAGAAAACAUUUCACAACAGACGACUGAAUACUCUGAAUUACAAGCAAGGAGAUGAGAAACACGAUCUCUCUCUUUCAGGUUCACAGAUACUUUACAGGUAAUUCAUGACUUUUCAUAAACAUCCUUAAACUAGAUAGACAAUUUUGUUCCUUGUGGUAAAAAACUUGUAGCGUGAGCCAGAACCCUCACUCUCUAACACUCUCUCCCCUCUCAACAAACCUCUGACCCAGAAAAGAGUAUUGUUUUCAUCUCUGAGUCUAGAUGAUUAUAUUGGAACUAAAUUUGUGGUAUCAGAAAUCAGCUCUUUAAUAUCACCCACACAAAGAAAUAUUCUAUUGUAGGAUCUACUUUCAUCUCUUUUCUUACUAUGAUUAACCCAAAAAAUAACCACAAAAAUGAGGAAAGGCAAGAAACAGUUGCUAUUGAAAGUAGCACUAUGGAGAAAAAAGGAACAUUAGGAGCCCAGGAAGAGGUAUCCAAUUUGAUAGCUGAAAGCCCCACUAAAGUUUCUAAUUUCUUUGUGAGAGCUUCUUCCUUGUCCAAAGCUGUGUAAAAUUGAGAUUAUAUCAUGCCUUAGAGAUCCACACUUGGAGUUUUAAGGAUCAAAACCUUAAUCAACAUUAAAGUACAUUAAAUUUCAAAAGACUCAAGAGCAAGUGUACAUACACACGUGGACACACUUAAUAGUGUCACUAGUCUUUACAUAGUAAGACAAAGGUUAAAGGCAGAGUACAUUGGUUUUAUUUCUUUGUAAAGUAUUGAGAGAAGUUGUAUAAAAUGGCUAUGAGAAGACACAGAUUUCUUAAUGUGCUUUGGUUCAGCUGCAAAGCAUUCCAUGAAUUUCAAGGGAAGCUACAGGGCAUUGGUGGAAAGUACACUAAAGAAAUCCUUCCUCAGCCUCGGAGUUUGAAAAAAAAUCUUGACUUUCAGAUACACCUGGGUCUUCUGGGGCAACAAAUGGGAAAUCACAGCUCUAUCAACAAGCACCAACUUGAUAAUUUGAGGCUUGUUUUCUUUUUUUUCUUCCUACAACUCAGACAGGUUUUUUUAAGCCUUAGCAGAAUGGCUAGACUAGGUAAUCCACAUAAGCAGCUGCUGCAAUGUGAUCUUUUUCUAACAUUUUAAUGUAGAGCUGUGAACUUUUCUGGCUUUGGGUUGUGUUAGGAACUUUUAGAGUAAACAUUCUCAAUUUAAAGGUUAUUACUUUUAGGGCUCUGUCUGAUCUGUCUCAGAUGGAGUGUCAGCAUUGAAAACAGUUACCCAUGAUAGCAAAUUCUGCUGGAAAUGCAGUGGCUGAUGUCUAAAUGAUCUUUGAAUACUAAUGCUACACACUUUAACAAAAAACUUUAGUUUAUUUCCUUAUUUUUAAGUUUAAUAACAUUCUAUUUUCUAGAUCUCAGGAUAUUUACUCAUGUACUGCUUUUUAGCACCACGCAAAAUAGGGAUUGGUUGGUGGUCAUCAGGGUACUGUAGAAGGUAAGUUCUACCUGGUUUCCAGCCACAGCUCUGCCACUUACCAGCUGCAUGCAUUUGGGCAAACCACCUCAUCUCUACAUCUCAGUAUCAUCAUGUGUGAAAUUGGGGUAUCAUUGUGUCAACUGAUAGAGAUGAUGCCUGGAUUAAAAGAAAAAGAAUACAUGGAAAGUAGUUAAUAUAGUAGUCAUUCAUUAUGUGUUUAUAUCUCAGGUCCUAAAAUCAAAAUCACCAUUAACACCAGCCUUAGAAGCCUAUUGUCUUACAUGUUUUCAUUGACUGAUUAUUAUUGUGACAGUUGGAAGAGAGGGAAAUAAUUUGAGCUGAGGCUUUUCAUAUACAACUUAUAAGAUGAUGCAAUAAAAUUUUGAUCAUCUUGCAAAUGUGGUUUAAGAUUACAUAAAGGGUCAAAGAUUUUCACUUUAAUAAGACAUGGGAUCCACCAAGAAGUAGUGAUACAUUUUCUCUAAUUAUAGGGAGGGCAGUGUUGAAUAUCUCCACUCUUUUUGACUAAGAUCUAUGGACAUGUGCCUCUACGUGAAAGCUAUGGGUGUGGAAACAACUCUUGGUGCGGCACACCUAUUGUAGAGUUCUUGCUUUUCCUUUUGAUCGGAGAGGGGUAGGGUGCCUGGGAACUAGGGCUGGAGCAGAAUCUCUACCUGAAACAGUAAGAGACUCUAGUUACUGACAGACAGGUCAAGUACUCAAAAACUUGCACACAAAAAAUAUUGUGAGCAUUUUUUGUCAACAGUUGCACAAUAAUUUUCAUGCCUUAAGACAGGCUGGGCUAAGAGUAGUUAUGCAGCCCUCAUAUUGGGACAUACUGGUUAACAGGGGGCAAGAGUUAGGUUUUGUAGUGGAUGCUGUGAUGGACCAACCAGAUCUCCACCUCAAGAACAACUUAUUCUUCUAACUAUAGGGAAUGCUGGCUGUGAAUGGCUGAGAGCUGUGCCCUUCUUUCAGAAUUGAACUCAGCCAAAGAAAGCUGCCUCACUCAAGUUUAUACCCCCUUCUCAGACAGCUUGUGUCCAAUGGCUGCUCAAAGCAGGGUCUCCUUUCUUGAAGGGCACUUCCAGCUGCACAGCACUAGUUGGAUUGACUGAGGCCUUUGUUGCUACUGUACUGCAAUUCAUCUCCUUCCUCUUCCCAAUCCUGCUUCCUCUAUUCCUUUACAGAUAAUGUUCCUGAGAACACUCCUAAUAAAUCUCCUGUCUACACAUUAUCUCUAUCUCACAAUCCAUUUGCAGGUAUCUCAAUCUUACAUAGAUUCCUAUUAAUCUUUGACACCCAAGCCUCCACCCAAAGCCCCUGGGUCAAGUUCUUUGCAGGUUGGCAUACUUCCCUACUAUCCAAGGACCAACUCUGCUCCACCUGAAGAUAAAGCCUAUUUAACCUCCUUGACUCUCAGAACAUACUCCUACCUUCCAGUAAUGUGCCCUUCUGCAAGAUAUAUAGCUUCUUCCCUACCCCAACAACAGAGAGAAAAAGGAUUUUCCAACAUUUGAUAUCAGGUCCAAAAGAAAGUUUGUUGAUUUUCUGCUUAGAGCAUCCUGUACACACUUGGCAAAUCUACAUCUGCCUUGCCUCUAGCUUUCUACACCAGGCAGACACACCCACACAUCCAGGACCCAGUGACAGACAGAGGCAGGCUGUAGAUGCCCUGAGGUUGUUUGCAGCCAUCUUUCUGGAACCUCAUCCACACUAGUUCCCAAACACCCCUCUCUGGCCCCUGGGUUUGCAUAGGGAUAAAGAUUUUCCCUAAUGGGCUGGGCUUGGCUUGGCUUCUUGCUCCAAAAAUUACAAAUUUCCUUUCAGGGGAAUUCUGUCCUCCACCAGCCUUUGGGGAACCAAUCUCAACCACUUGACUGACAUGUUAGAAAGGCCAGUAUGGACACAUCUUAGGGCAGGAUUCAUAGACAUUAUCUUGUUUAAUUUUGCAUAUAAUCCUUGUUACAAUCUUGCCCAGUGAUAUGGUUUGGCUCUAUGUCCCCACCCAAAUCUCAUUUUGAAUUGUACUCCCAUAAUUCUCACGUAUUGUGGGAGGGACCUGGUGGGAGAUAAUUUGAAUCAUGGGGGCAGUUCCCCCAUACUGUUCUCCUGAUAGUGAAUAAGUCUCAUGAGAUCUGAUGGUUUUAUCAGGGAUUUCUGCUUUUUCAUCUUCCUCAUUUUCUCUUGUCACCACCAGGUAAUAAGUGCCUUUCACUUCCCACCAUGAUACUGAGGCUUCCCCAGCCAUGUGAAACUGUAGGUCCAAUUAAACCUCUUUUUCUUCCCAGUCUUGAGUAUGUCUUUAUAAGCAGCAUGAAAAUGGACUAAUACAGUAGGUCAGCAUAACUUUACUUGACAGCCAUGGGAAGUUGGCCCAGCAGAGGAAAGAGACUUGUCUCAAAUCAUACAGUAAUUGGCAGAAGGACCUGUCUGUGGAUGCAAUGCCUAUGUUAUUUUCACUAGGCCACCUUGUUUUCCCACAUAUCAGGCUGCCUCCCGAUAUUGUAGUCCAGAGAUGAGGAAAGUAUGAAAGCCCAGUCACUGGCUAUUGUCCAAGAAACUGCCUGACGGAGUAACUCAUCAAGAGGCUUCUGGCAUUGGAAUACAUACCAUAAGGUUUGCACCUCAACUGAGAAUCAUGCCAGAAGAGUAGAGACAAGCCAGCAACCAGCUAAUAGAGUGAACAUCUGGGGCUGACUCACUGGGACACUAAGCUGAAGGACCCAGCAGGGAGUAGGUUUAUGAGAUAAAACAGAGGAGAAGGAUCCAGUGGCCAUUUAACUACUGUCUGUAGUCUGGCCACCUCAACCAAACAUCAGAUUCUGACAGGAAUACUUUCAAAUUUCUAGAGAUGCUAUAUUUUUACAGCCCUGUCUCUUGGACCACAAAAGAAACUCUCCCUCCCUGUACCCACUAAAUUCAUCUCAUUGUAGCUCCUUAAGAUUUUCAGGAGUGUCAGACAGCUUUCCUCCUGUCUCCUGUCCCCAGCUUCACCAAGUCACUCGAGUAUGCUGUCAGUGUUCUUGAUUCUACAUGUCUCUGAGGAUCCGUUCUGAGACCUGUCUUCCCGUGGCCAUCUGUCUGGGACUUUCCGAGGCUUCCAUUGUCUGUCUCAGCAGAUAAUACAGUCUUGGAUGGAGCCUCCAGAUAAUUUCAGAUAGACUAGGCCCCAGUUUGCCCAGUGCUGCGGGCCUCGGGAACAAGCUUCAUAUCUAUAGCUUACUAUAGAAAAUGCCAAAUGAGCCCAUUUCAGGACAGAUUGGUCAGCAAUUCUUCCCUGGCAUUUGGGCAUUGGCCUUUUUCACAGGUUAUUACUUAGGCAGCUUGCUCUAGUGUCUCUUACUGCUUCAGGGAGGGAUUCUGCCCAGUCCUGGUCUUAAGGUACCUACUCAUCCCCCAGCCAGGCUUCUGCCAAAGGAAAAAGUGAAAAGAAUAUUUACUAAAUGUGAUGGUUAAUAUUGAGGGGACUGAAGGAUGCAAAUUAUUGUUCCUGGGUGUGUCUGUGAGGGUGUUGCCAAAGGAGAUUAACAUUUGAGUCAGUGGGCUGGGAGAGGCAGACACACUCUCAGUCUGGGUGGGCACAAUGUAAUCAGCUGCCAGUGUGGCCAGAAUAAAACAAGCAGAAGAAUGUGAAAAGACUAGACUGGCUUAGCCUUCCAGCCUACAUCUUUCUCCCGUGCUGGAUGCUUCCUGCCCUUGAACUUCGGACUCCAAGUUCUUUAGCUUUGGGACCUAGACUGGCUUCUUUGCUCCUCACCUUGCAGACUGCCUAUUGUGGGACCUCACCUUGUGAUCAUGUGAAUCAACACUCCUUAAUAAACUGCCCUUUAUAUAUACAUCGAUCCUAUUAGUUCUGUCCCUCUAGAGAAUCCUGACUAAUACGCUAAAUGUGCUACACCAAGGUAUCUUUCCAUACCUAUGACUCUCGCUUGAGAGCACAUGUCCAUAAGAUGCCAGUCAAACUUAGGGUGGAUAUGCCAUACCUAUAACUAGGUAGAAUUUAUCACUACUCCUUGGGAGAGGCCAACUCAUGUUAAAAUGAAGAGUCUUGGAUAUCAGCAACUUCUCUAGUUCAUCCACCAGAAAUUUGGCUCCCAUAUUUAAAUAUACCCUGG
rnacentral:lncRNA from 10 species